ACUCCUCCUCCUUCCAUAUGCUUUACUCGAGCGAAAACGGCGACGAGGAGCGAGGCAGCCCGGCCGUCAGGCAGACUCAGAGAGCGACUCGUAGAGAGAGACACAGAGAGAAGAGAGCAGAGACCUCACUCACCUGGGAAGGUUCCUACAAUUUUGAUUCGUCCGACAUGCCUGUCUUAGGCUAAAGGCUUUUAUUGGGAUCCCUGGUCUACGUCACCCUCUUGUGAACAUCUGCCAAAAUCCAUCUGCAACGCCUUUGUGCAUGGUUCGACAAUGGUGAUUUAGCUCUCGGACUAGUAACUCUAGCUUAUUCAUAAAUUCACCUUGUUAACACUUGGGAUGGUGUUUGGUUUCGGUGUAUCGGCCCUUUUAUUUCCUUCCUGAUACUAAUGUAAACCUCAGUUGCUCAAUUGUAAGACAGCGAGCGAAGCAGAACGAAGGAAACGCCCUACGAUCUACGUGAAUUGCCUUGUUCUCCUACCAGUUGUUUAUAACUACGGUACUACGUCAUUUU